rnacentral:rRNA from 1 species
ACUAAGCGUACACGGUGGAUGCCCUGGCAGUCAGAGGCGAUGAAGGACGUGCUAAUCUGCGAUAAGCGUCGGUAAGGUGAUAUGAACCGUUAUAACCGGCGAUUUCCGAAUGGGGAAACCCAGUGUGUUUCGACACACUAUCAUUAACUGAAUCCAUAGGUUAAUGAGGCGAACCGGGGGAACUGAAACAUCUAAGUACCCCGAGGAAAAGAAAUCAACCGAGAUUCCCCCAGUAGCGGCGAGCGAACGGGGAGCAGCCCAGAGCCUGAAUCAGUGUGUGUGUUAGUGGAAGCGUCUGGAAAGGCGCGCGAUACAGGGUGACAGCCCCGUACACAAAAAUGCACAUGCUGUGAGCUCGAUGAGUAGGGCGGGACACGUGGUAUCCUGUCUGAAUAUGGGGGGACCAUCCUCCAAGGCUAAAUACUCCUGACUGACCGAUAGUGAACCAGUACCGUGAGGGAAAGGCGAAAAGAACCCCGGCGAGGGGAGUGAAAAAGAACCUGAAACCGUGUACGUACAAGCAGUGGGAGCACGCUUAGGCGUGUGACUGCGUACCUUUUGUAUAAUGGGUCAGCGACUUAUAUUCUGUAGCAAGGUUAACCGAAUAGGGGAGCCGAAGGGAAACCGAGUCUUAACUGGGCGUUAAGUUGCAGGGUAUAGACCCGAAACCCGGUGAUCUAGCCAUGGGCAGGUUGAAGGUUGGGUAACACUAACUGGAGGACCGAACCGACUAAUGUUGAAAAAUUAGCGGAUGACUUGUGGCUGGGGGUGAAAGGCCAAUCAAACCGGGAGAUAGCUGGUUCUCCCCGAAAGCUAUUUAGGUAGCGCCUCGUGAAUUCAUCUCCGGGGGUAGAGCACUGUUUCGGCAAGGGGGUCAUCCCGACUUACCAACCCGAUGCAAACUGCGAAUACCGGAGAAUGUUAUCACGGGAGACACACGGCGGGUGCUAACGUCCGUCGUGAAGAGGGAAACAACCCAGACCGCCAGCUAAGGUCCCAAAGUCAUGGUUAAGUGGGAAACGAUGUGGGAAGGCCCAGACAGCCAGGAUGUUGGCUUAGAAGCAGCCAUCAUUUAAAGAAAGCGUAAUAGCUCACUGGUCGAGUCGGCCUGCGCGGAAGAUGUAACGGGGCUAAACCAUGCACCGAAGCUGCGGCAGCGACGCUUAUGCGUUGUUGGGUAGGGGAGCGUUCUGUAAGCCUGCGAAGGUGUGCUGUGAGGCAUGCUGGAGGUAUCAGAAGUGCGAAUGCUGACAUAAGUAACGAUAAAGCGGGUGAAAAGCCCGCUCGCCGGAAGACCAAGGGUUCCUGUCCAACGUUAAUCGGGGCAGGGUGAGUCGACCCCUAAGGCGAGGCCGAAAGGCGUAGUCGAUGGGAAACAGGUUAAUAUUCCUGUACUUGGUGUUACUGCGAAGGGGGGACGGAGAAGGCUAUGUUGGCCGGGCGACGGUUGUCCCGGUUUAAGCGUGUAGGCUGGUUUUCCAGGCAAAUCCGGAAAAUCAAGGCUGAGGCGUGAUGACGAGGCACUACGGUGCUGAAGCAACAAAUGCCCUGCUUCCAGGAAAAGCCUCUAAGCAUCAGGUAACAUCAAAUCGUACCCCAAACCGACACAGGUGGUCAGGUAGAGAAUACCAAGGCGCUUGAGAGAACUCGGGUGAAGGAACUAGGCAAAAUGGUGCCGUAACUUCGGGAGAAGGCACGCUGAUAUGUAGGUGAAGUCCCUCGCGGAUGGAGCUGAAAUCAGUCGAAGAUACCAGCUGGCUGCAACUGUUUAUUAAAAACACAGCACUGUGCAAACACGAAAGUGGACGUAUACGGUGUGACGCCUGCCCGGUGCCGGAAGGUUAAUUGAUGGGGUCAGCGCAAGCGAAGCUCUUGAUCGAAGCCCCGGUAAACGGCGGCCGUAACUAUAACGGUCCUAAGGUAGCGAAAUUCCUUGUCGGGUAAGUUCCGACCUGCACGAAUGGCGUAAUGAUGGCCAGGCUGUCUCCACCCGAGACUCAGUGAAAUUGAACUCGCUGUGAAGAUGCAGUGUACCCGCGGCAAGACGGAAAGACCCCGUGAACCUUUACUAUAGCUUGACACUGAACAUUGAGCCUUGAUGUGUAGGAUAGGUGGGAGGCUUUGAAGUGUGGACGCCAGUCUGCAUGGAGCCGACCUUGAAAUACCACCCUUUAAUGUUUGAUGUUCUAACGUUGACCCGUAAUCCGGGUUGCGGACAGUGUCUGGUGGGUAGUUUGACUGGGGCGGUCUCCUCCUAAAGAGUAACGGAGGAGCACGAAGGUUGGCUAAUCCUGGUCGGACAUCAGGAGGUUAGUGCAAUGGCAUAAGCCAGCUUGACUGCGAGCGUGACGGCGCGAGCAGGUGCGAAAGCAGGUCAUAGUGAUCCGGUGGUUCUGAAUGGAAGGGCCAUCGCUCAACGGAUAAAAGGUACUCCGGGGAUAACAGGCUGAUACCGCCCAAGAGUUCAUAUCGACGGCGGUGUUUGGCACCUCGAUGUCGGCUCAUCACAUCCUGGGGCUGAAGUAGGUCCCAAGGGUAUGGCUGUUCGCCAUUUAAAGUGGUACGCGAGCUGGGUUUAGAACGUCGUGAGACAGUUCGGUCCCUAUCUGCCGUGGGCGCUGGAGAACUGAGGGGGGCUGCUCCUAGUACGAGAGGACCGGAGUGGACGCAUCACUGGUGUUCGGGUUGUCAUGCCAAUGGCACUGCCCGGUAGCUAAAUGCGGAAGAGAUAAGUGCUGAAAGCAUCUAAGCACGAAACUUGCCCCGAGAUGAGUUCUCCCUGACUCCUUGAGAGUCCUGAAGGAACGUUGAAGACGACGACGUUGAUAGGCCGGGUGUGUAAGCGCAGCGAUGCGUUGAGCUAACCGGUACUAAUGAACCGUGAGGCUUAACC